ensembl:rRNA 5S_rRNA 5S ribosomal RNA
GCUUAUAGCUGUACCACCCUGAGCACACCCAUCCCGUCUGAUCUCAGAAGCAAAGGAGGGUCAGUCCCGCUUAGUAUUUGGAUGGGAGACCGCCUGGGAACACCAGGUACUGUAAGCU